rfam:Parcubacteria bacterium GW2011_GWC2_42_6 TV36_C0029, whole genome shotgun sequence.
GCGCCCAUAGCUCAAUGGAUAGAUCGCCGGCCUCCGAAGCCGGAAAUUGAGGUUCGAAUCCUCAUGGGCGCA